AGUUUGAUCCUGGCUCAGGAUGAACGCUAGCGGUGCGCCUAACACAUGCAAGUCGAGCGAUAUAGCGGCGAACGGGUGAGUAACACGUUGGAACCUGCCCCGGACUCAGGGAUAACACCGAGAAAUCGGUGCUAAUACCGGAUGGUCCCGCAAGGGUAAAGCUUUUGCGGUCCGGGAGGGGCCUGCGCAGUAUCAGUUUGUUGGUAGGGUAACGGCCUACCAAGACUACGACGCUUAGCUGGUCUGAGAGGAUGAUCAGCCACAAGUGGAACUGUAGGACACGGUUCCAUAUUUCCUACGGGAGGCAGGCAGUGAGGAAUCUUCCGCAAUGGGCGAAAGCCUGACGGAGCGACACCGCGUGAAGGAUGAAGGCCUUUUGGUUUUAACCUUUUUUUCUGAGGGAAUAAAUGAUGAAGGUACCUCAGGAAUAAGCACCGGCUAACUACGUGGCCAGCAGCCGCGGUAAUACGUAGGGUGCAAGCGUUAUCCGGAAUUAUUGGGCGUAAAGCGUGCGCAGGCGGUUUUGUAAGUUUGAGGUUAAAUCUGGUGGCUCAACCAUCAAAUCGUCUCAAAAACUGCUUAACUAGAGAAUGACAGAGGUAACUGGAAUUCUACAUGUAGGGGUAAAAUCCGUUGAUAUGUAGAGGAAUACCAAAAGCGAAGGCAGGUUACUGGGUCAUUUCUGACGCUGUUGCACGAAAGCGUGGGUAGCGAACAGGAUUAGAUACCCUGGUAGUCCACGCUGUAAACGAUGGAUACUCGGCUUGAGUGGGAUUCGACCCCCAUUUGGGCCCAAGCUAACGCGUUAAGUAUCCCGCCUGGGGAGUACGGUCGCAAGAUUAAAACUCAAAGGAAUAGACGGGGACCCACACAAGCGGUGGAGCAUGUGGUUUAAUUCGACGAUAAACGGGGAACCUUACCAAGGCUUGACAUCUCCGGAACUCGAUAGAAAUAUUGAGGUGCCGUAAGGAACCGGAUGACAGGUGCUGCAUGGUCGUCGUCAGCUCGUGCCUUGAGGUGUUCGGUUAAGUCCGUAAACGAGCGCAACCCAUGUCCUGUGUUGUAAUUCUCACAGGAGACUGCCGGCUCUAAGUCGGAGGAAGGUAUGGAUGACGUCAGAUCAGCAUGGCCCUUAUGCCUUGGGCCACACACGUGCUACAAUGGCCGGUACAAUGGGCAGCUAACCCGUAAGGGGGAGCAAAUCCCAUCAAAGCCGGUCUCAGUUCGGAUUGAGGGCUGCAAUUCGCCCUCAUGAAGUUGGAAUCGCUAGUAAACGCGAAUCAGACAUGUCGCGUUGAAUAUGUUCCUGGGUCUUGUACUCACCGCCCGUCACAUCAUGAAAGGUGGGGGUACCCGAAGUCGCCUUAGUCCUUCGGGACGGGUGCCUAAGGUAAACUCACUGAUUGGGAUGAAGUCGUAACAAGGUAACC
rnacentral:rRNA from 2 species